rnacentral:lncRNA from 1 species
UCUGCAGCUUCAGCCUUCAGCCCUCUUCUUCCUGCCGAGGCGAGGGGGCUGCUGGGAGGUUUUGGUCCUGCAGACUCGAGAGUCGCUGGGAGGAGAGGAGAGUAUGUCGGCCCCAGGUCCCGGGCUCUGCUCCUGCGCUCUGGCCUCGGGUUUCUCUGGGCGUAGGAGAGGAGGGCAGGGAUCCUGUGAAUAAAAUGGCGCAGACGUGCUUGUGCAGCUUUCCUGCUGGAGUCCAUGAGCGUCUCGAGGAUUUGGGCAUGCGUGUUCAUGUCAUGUCACAAUCUGUUCAGAGUACUGUCAUCAGCAACAAAGCAUGGCUCGGCAUGCGGGCAAAACUGCACCAACCACCAUGCAUGGACACAGCACCCAUCUAGCCCUGACCUGGUGGUUUGUUUGCAUCUCCUUGCUCUACCCUACUCAAGGAGGAUGG